rnacentral:rRNA from 1 species
AUACGGAGGAUGCGAGCGUUAUCCGGAUUUAUUGGGUUUAAAGGGAGCGUAGGUGGGAUAUUAAGUCAGCUGUGAAAGUUUGGGGCUCAACCUUAAAAUUGCAGUUGAUACUGGUUUCCUUGAGUAUGGUACAGGUGGGCGGAAUUCGUGGUGUAGCGGUGAAAUGCUUAGAUAUCACGAAGAACUCCGAUCGCGAAGGCAGCUCACCGGGCCGGAACUGACACUGAUGCUCGAAAGUGCGGGUAUCAAACAGGAUUAGAUACCCUGGUAGUCCGCACAGUAAACGAUGAAUACUCGCUGUUUGCGACACACUGUAAGCGGCCAAGCGAAAGCGUUAAGUAUUCCACCUGGGGAGUACGCCGGCAACGGUGAAACUCAAAUGAAUUGACGGGG